GGCACUAUAGCCAAGUGGUUAAGGCGAUAGAUUCGAAUUAUAAUCCAUCUAUUACUCUCUGAGUGCGCAGGUUCAAAUCCUGCUGGUGUCG